CCCUACAACUAAGAGAUGAAU
rnacentral:snRNA from 1 species